rnacentral:tRNA from 1 species
GCCCGGGUGGCGGAAUGGCAGACGCAGCAGACUUAAAAUCUGCUUUCCUUUGGAAGUACGGGUUCGAUCCCCGUUCCGGGCACCA